rnacentral:rRNA from 1 species
UACGAAGGGGGCUAGCGUUGCUCGGAAUCACUGGGCGUAAAGGGUGCGUAGGCGGGUCUUAAGUCAGGGGUGAAAUCCUGGAGCUCAACUCCAGAACUGCCUUUGAUACUGAGGAUCUUGAGUUCGGGAGAGGUGAGUGGAACUCCUAGUGUAGAGGUGGAAUUCGUAGAUAUUAGGAAGAAACACCAGUGGCGAAGGCGGCUCACUGGUCCGGUACUGACGCUGAGGUG